rnacentral:rRNA from 1 species
UCGAGCGAAGCAAUGAAUACGAUUCUUCGGAUGAGGAUUCUUGUGACUGAGCGGCGGACGGGUGAGUAACGCGUGGGCAACCUGCCUUACACAGGGGGAUAACAGUUAGAAAUGACUGCUAAUACCGCAUAAGACCACAAAACCGCAUGGUUUGGUGGUAAAAACUCCGGUGGUGUAAGAUGGGCCCGCGUCUGAUUAGGUAGUUGGUGGGGUAACGGCCUACCAAGCCGACGAUCAGUAGCCGACCUGAGAGGGUGACCGGCCACAUUGGGACUGAGACACGGCCCAGACUCCUACGGGAGGCAGCAGUGGGGAAUAUUGCACAAUGGGGGAAACCCUGAUGCAGCGACGCCGCGUGAGCGAUGAAGUAUUUCGGUAUGUAAAGCUCUAUCAGCAGGGAAGAAAAUGACGGUACCUGACUAAGGAGCCCCGGCUAACUACGUGCCAGCAGCCGCGGUAAUACGUAGGGGGCAAGCGUUAUCCGGAUUUACUGGGUGUAAAGGGAGCGUAGACGGCUUGGCAAGCCAGAUGUGAAAGGCUGGGGCUCAACCCCAGGACUGCAUUUGGAACUGUCAUGCUAGAGUGUCGGAGAGGCAGGCGGAAUUCCUAGUGUAGCGGUGAAAUGCGUAGAUAUUAGGAGGAAUACCAGUGGCGAAGGCGGCCUGCUGGACGAUGACUGACGUUGAGGCUCGAAAGCGUGGGGAGCAAACAGGAUUAAAUACCCUGGUAGUCCACGCCGUAAAC